CAUUCCCGUCAGAACCAGGGACAAUGAGGACAGACAGCACGCCAACCAGAACCGCCAUUGUAACGAAGCCGAACAACUAAACGCCCCGAGUCUGUUUUCCGAAUGACCUAGAAUCCGUCAACGGGGCAGAGCGCGGGCUCUCAGACAUUCAGUCAGCAAAGCUGUGUAGUCGCGCUGGGCUUCAAGCCAUCAAUGCCUAUCCUACUGGCCGGGCUGAACUGAAGCUCAUGAGACAAGCGGAUUUUCAAUCUCUGGCUCGGCCCCUCCGCUUGUUCCUACUGCGGCAUGCUCCCCUCCGCUUCCCCUCCCUUGUCGUUCCCGAGCUGUCAAAAUCUUUGCUUGUGAUCUUCGUCAUCGCAUCCGCUCACUACCUCGUAAUUCGUCGGCAUGUUAACACGGGCCUUCCCUUGACUCCCCAGUCACACGAACCAUGAUCUACCAGUCAUCCGAUACUUUUCCAUAUCAUCGGGAUUUUUCCACGACAUCGGACCAAAAUCUCGGUGGAGACGUUUAAAUAAACUCGUCCCAUCUUCUUGCGCUUUGAUCCCGUUUCAUAACCGAAUCUUCGGGAUGUGGAAGCGAAACCAACAAAAAAAAAAAAAAAAGAAGAGAAAAAUUUUCGUGCCAUCGGCGGCCCCGUUGUGGUGUUGAGCACAUCCGAAAUGGGGUCCAGACGGAAUUGAAGAAGUGGGAAAUCUAUGGUAGUGCAGUGUAAACAGCCGGCGGCAGCGUCGCCAGCACUCAGCGGUGCCAGCGGGGUUUGCGAGUGACUCUGUGACGCAAUCAUGCAGCUUGAAACUUCGAACCAU